UAACGCGUGAGCAACCUGCCUAUGACAGUGGGAUAGCCUCGGGAAACCGGGAUUAAUACCGCAUAAAAUCGUAGAAACACAUGUUUCAGCGGUCAAAGAUUUAUCGGUCAUAGAUGGGCUCGCGUCUGAUUAGCUAGUUGGUGAGAUAACAGCCCACCAAGGCGACGAUCAGUAGCCGGUCUGAGAGGAUGAACGGCCACAUUGGAACUGAGACACGGUCCAAACUCCUACGGGAGGCAGCAGCA
rnacentral:rRNA from 1 species